rnacentral:rRNA from 1 species
AUGGACGAUGUGGCGCCUGCGCCUCCUCUGUCCGAGCCGCCGGCCAGGGACUGGUCGCUGCUGCCCAUCGACAUGGUAUGCAUGAUCUUUGUCAAGGCCGGCGCCGUCGACGUCCUCAUGGGCGCCGGCCUCGUGUGCCACUCGUGGCUCGAAGCGGCUAAGUUGCCAGAGGUAUGGCGCGUCGUGGACAUGGAGAACCACGAGGCCGUGCUCCUCAAGGACCAAACUGUCCUGCGCGCAAUGGCGAGGGCUGCCGUCCACCGUUCCAACGGGCAGCUUCGGGUGUUCGCCGGCAAGCUAUUUGUCAACCAUAAGCUCAUGAAGUUUAUCGUGGAUAGACUGACCGCCGUCCUUGAGAGCUGCCCUCUCUUGGAGGUUCUUCGGGUGCGCAACUGCUUCAAGAUCUAUGAUGACGAGGACAAGGCGCAUACACUGCAAGCAAAAUUCCCCGCUAUCAAGAUCCUGACGCUUGAGUGCGAUGAUGAGUUUCGCUUCUCCCGUAAAAGAAAUCAGUCCAGCUACGGGUAUGAUGACGAGAGGUUCGACUACGUUCCUGAUUUUGAAGACCUGAGAAUCGAAUGA